rnacentral:pre_miRNA from 1 species
UGUCUCCCAGCCUGAGGUGCAGUGCUGCAUCUCUGGUCAGUUGGGAGUCUGAGAUGAAGCACUGUAGCUCGGGAAGGGAGGAGU